AGGCAGCAGUGGGGAAUAUUGGACAAUGGGCGCAAGCCUGAUCCAGCCAUGCCGCGUGCAGGAAGACGGCCCUAUGGGUUGUAAACUGCUUUUAUACGGGAAGAAACACCCCCUCGUGAGGGGGCUUGACGGUACCGUAGGAAUAAGGAUCGGCUAACUCCGUGCCAGCAGCCGCGGU
rnacentral:rRNA from 1 species